rnacentral:tRNA from 1 species
AAGGGAGACCUAAUUCGGGUAUAAGACGAAAAAAGAGUGGUCGAAACCAAGAAUCAAUCCCAAAAGGUCGGAACGAGGUAUGUGGCUUUCAAACUAGGUUCUGGGUUCACACAAGACCUGAAUCAGGAACAAGGGCUAUUAGCUCAGGUGGUUAGAGCGCACCCCUGAUAAGGGUGAGGUCCCUGGUUCGAGUCCAGGAUGGCCCACCUGCACAGGUGGCAAAAACAAAGAAGCGAGGAAUCAGCACCUUAUCUUAUCUAUAUAUAAGAGAGAAUGCUGGCUCUGAGUAAAGAGUCCAGAGGAACCUUGAAAACUGCAUAGAGCUAGGUGAAAAAGCCAAAAAAGAAGACCGCAA